rnacentral:lncRNA from 1 species
GAAGGAAAGGGAUAGGAAGGAGGGGAAGAAAGGGACAGGAAGGAGGAAAAGGAAAGGGAAAGGAAGGAAAAGAAAGGAAAGGGAACUUGAAAUCCUACAAGGUCUCAAAGUCAAAUAACAUGAUUGCUGUUUUAGAGAAUUGAAGAUCCUUCCUCUUCAAGAAUCUGAAAUCUACCAUGAUCUUCGCAUGUAGCAAAACACAAUGGGAUGUGGUCAUUUAAGAGUGCUGUGAAGGCAGUGUGUGUACAUAGUCAUUUAAGAGUGCUGUGAAGGCAGUGAAAAGCAGUUGAAAUACCAUUAGUUAACAGAUUGUCCAAUGAAGUCGAUGACAACUGUGAUAAGAAAUUACUCACUAUCACAGCGUCUCCAAGAGAUGAACAGUGGAUGAUGCUUCCAAAGCACAGAUGUCCCUCUCCUCCUCAACCUUCUUUCCCCAGAAAGAUGUCAACACUGUGGAGAUUGUGCCAUGAAGACACCUGGUGUGGCAUUGCAAUAGAUGAAAUAUUAAGGGCAAUUCAACAAUUUUCUGGACAAAUACAUGGAUUUAACUUGAAGUUGAAUUUAAUUUGACUUCAAGAAAAAUUAUACUUCUGGUCCUCCUAUGAUCAUGUACUAAGAGUUAUUUAACUGCAGAUACAAUUGUUAUCUUUAGAGCUAGAAGGCCUCAUUUUAGAAUUAAAAUGAAUGGCAACCCAGACAGAUAA